AUCCAACCAUAAGUCAACUUAUCAUCGAACUGACAAUUCGUGUAAUUGACCUAAUUCAUCCAAGAUUCAUCCUAAAAAUUAAAGAAAAUUGGAAGUCGCCACCUUCCAAGUCAUGGCAGCAACCCCCUUGCACAAAGUCCACUACAAUGGUUGCAUCACUAACUUGUUUAUAACAAGCUUUGCUAUUUUAGAAAGUAGACUUACAAGCGCUUGUCCUCCAACAAAAUUCAAUGCAAAAAAAUAAUUAAGCUAAAAGAAAUCUUGCCUCAAAGUUGCCUAACUUUCUCGGCCUAGUCAGAGCACCCUUGGCCACAAAAACCCUUGCCCUUGCUCCAUUUCAGUUGUGCAAUGCAUAUGCUUUAGCAUUCCAGAAACUAGAAUUAAAGCCGCAUCACCUCCAACAAUUUUUUCUUGAAAAUCUUGAGUGAAUUCCAUGAUAUGACCUUCCAAAGUAGCUUGAGUUGGCGGAGUACUACAUCUUCACCACGGCCGACUUCUCUUCACUCCAACCACCAUAACUUCCUUGGCCUUUACUCAAUCUAAGUGUGCAAAUAGUCCUUGCAAAGCUGACAACAAGAACCAUCCACCAUAAAAGUUUCAGCUCCAAAUUCAAUACUGUCCGCCAAAAAUCGCCUUCCAAAGUUGGACCUCUAGAUCUGGCCGGCAGCUGACCUCCUUGUCACUAAAACCACCACAACUUUCUUGUUUUCUCUCCAAGCAAAGCGUGCCUACUGUCCCGAGGAAGCUAACGACAAGAUAUAACCAUUGGUAAAGUUUGACAUUCUAUUUCCAAAUAACUAAUACACUGCAACUGCGCAAUUGCAGCUCUGUAGAAACAAGGGUACGUGGAGAAGCAAUUUGGCAUGGCUUCGCCCCAAAGAAAAAGAGUGAGAGGGAGUGUGGCCACCCCUACCCUCUUAUCCAAGUAGGAAGAGACCAAAGGGUG
rnacentral:lncRNA from 1 species